rnacentral:rRNA from 1 species
CCUGAUAAAGAAUUCAAAGAGCCUGAUCCUGUCUGAUUUCAGAAGCUAAGCAGAGUCGGGCCUGGUUAGUACCUGGAUGGGAGACCAUCUAGAAAGAUCAGGCGCUGUAGGGG